ensembl:lncRNA
GGGGAUCAUCUGGGCUCGUGAGAGUGGGUCCUCUGGCCCAGUGAUUUAUGCUGGUUUGCCGUGUGUUUUCAGCUACAGCACUCAAGACGGAAGAGCCCCCUCCAAGCCCCCAAAGACACACAGUGAAGAGACCUCCUUCAAAGUUCCUAUCAGGUCUUAUCAGCAGCACAAGCCCCUCCCACCUUUCUGUCCAUUUGCACCACGUGCACUGUGCAGUGCUCAGGGACACCACAAGAGGGCGUGAGAUCCCCUAGAACCGAUUACAGAGCGUGGUGAGCUGCCAGCCUUGGAAGGAACGCAGAUGUCACAUUUGGGGCUGAGGACUCGACAGUGACUUGCUCUCAGGAUAUUGACCAACAGGUCUACUCACUGAACCUGGAGGUCAUGGAUUCUCCAACCUGGCUGCCCUGCGACACCCAGGAAUCCUCCUGUCCCUGCUUCCACAGUGCCAGGACUGCAAAGGCUCACACCACCACACCUGGUUCCAGCCCUCACGCUUGCACGCUUGCACGCUUGCACGCUUGCACAGCGAGCACGUUACCUCCAGAG